AGCUUGAUGAUGACUGUCUCAUGUGAUUGCUUUGGUAAUAGCAAAAUGAGCAAAUCAUUUCACCGGCACUGAAAGCA
ensembl:snoRNA small nucleolar RNA, C/D box 102